UAAUACAUAUUUUUAUUUCUUUUUCAAAAAUAAAUUAACGAAAUGCACAGUCAAAGCUUGGAUCUGAUAUAAUAGAAAUCAUAGAACUUGUGAGCAUAGAUAGCCAGUCAGCCUCACCUAAAGUGAUUGUGUAGGCGUUGGAUUGUUUGUUCUAUAAACUCAAUUCAUGCUAAUUUAAAAUCCCGUUUGUUUUGUAAAGAAUGGUUGUGAGAAAAGUAAAAUAUAU
rnacentral:lncRNA from 1 species